rnacentral:rRNA from 1 species
AGUGAACGCUGGCGGUAGGCCUAACACAUGCAAGUCGAACGGAAGCACAGUAAGAGCUUGCUCUUACGGGUGGCGAGUGGCGGACGGGUGAGGAAUACAUCGGAAUCUACUUUUUCGUGGGGGAUAACGUAGGGACACUUACGCUAAUACCGCAUACGACCUACGGGUUAAAGCAGGGGAUCUUCGGACCUUGCGCGAUUGAAUGAGCCGAUGUCGGAUUAGCUAGUUGGCGGGGUAAAGGCCCACCAAGGCGACGAUCCGUAGCUGGUCUGAGAGGAUGAUCAGCCACACUGGAACUGAGACACGGUCCAGACUCCUACGGGAGGCAGCAGUGGGGAAUAUUGGACAAUGGGCGCAAGCCUGAUCCAGCCAUGCCGCGUGGGUGAAGAAGGCCUUCGGGUUGUAAAGCUCUUUUGUUGGGAAAGAACAGCAGCAGGUUAAUACCCCGCUGUUCUGACGGUACCCAAAGAAUAAGCACCGGCUAACUUCGUG